GGCUUAACCAUUGUUCGCUUUGGAAACUGUUAAACUUGAGUGCAGAAGGGGAGAGUGGAAUUCCAUGUGUAGCGGUGAAAUGCGUAGAUAUAUGGAGGAACACCGGUGGCGAAAGCGGCUCUCUGGUCUGUAACUGACGCUGAGGCUCGAAAGCGUGGGGAGCAAACAGGAUUAGAUACC
rnacentral:rRNA from 1 species